rnacentral:lncRNA from 1 species
AACCAAUUGAAGAAAGAGUAGAUGGAUGGAUUAGAGGAGGAAGAAGAUUUGAAUUUAGAACCAGAAUUGGUAGAACCCACAUUAGAUAAUGUAGGAAAUGAUCAAUUGGAUGGAUCAGAGGAAAUAGUAACUUUGUAGAAUUUUGUUAAGUAGUUUUUAGAUAGGUAAUAAUUGUAUGUUAGCAAGGAUGCUGCACAAAUUGGAGUGGGGCUGUGUAGAAUAGAUAUAAGUUCGUUUCUGUAAGAUAUUGGUAAAAUAGACUAAUAGUCCAUAGAAUAGUCAGUUCAGGAGGAUGGAUGGUUAACUUAAUUAUUAAAAGCAAGUAAUUAUAGGAUUACGGUUAGAAUUUGGAAAUAAAAAGUAAGUAUAUAGGAGUUAUAGAAGUUAGUAUGAGUGCCAGACUGUGAUAGUCAUGAGCCAAGAUAAGCUUGGUGCUACCUCUUUGUCUCUUUAUUUUUUUUUGUUGUUGAAGAGUAAUGGAUAGUUUUUGAAUACUAAAAAGUGAGUCUGUGGAAUAAAUCAGAGAUUGAUUUGUGAGUUAUUAAUUAUAUAAAUGGAGUACUAAGUAAUUAAAUUAUAUGAUGAGUUAUUAGAAGAUUAUGAUUGUUUUUUAUUGAGAGCUAUGUGUAUUUUGGACAAAGAAAGUUGGUGAUUAUAGAAAUUAUGUGAAUUCAGAUUGGUUGGAGUGAAGUCUGUUAAUUCUGGUGUUGGAUAGAAAUUAUGUGUUUUGAGGGAUCUUUUGAGAGUGCAGGGUUGCACACUAUUGUU